UUUUUGGAGAGUUUGAUCCUGGCUCAGGACGAACGCUGGCGGCGUGCCUAAUACAUGCAAGUCGAGCGGACUUGACGGAAGCUUGCU
rfam:Bacillus badius strain MTCC 1458 Contig10, whole genome shotgun sequence.